GGUUAAGCGACUAAGCGUACACGGUGGAUGCCCUGGCAGUCAGAGGCGAUGAAGGACGUGCUAAUCUGCGAUAAGCGUCGGUAAGGUGAUAUGAACCGUUAUAACCGGCGAUUUCCGAAUGGGGAAACCCAGUGUGAUUCGUCACACUAUCAUUAACUGAAUCCAUAGGUUAAUGAGGCGAACCGGGGGAACUGAAACAUCUAAGUACCCCGAGGAAAAGAAAUCAACCGAGAUUCCCCCAGUAGCGGCGAGCGAACGGGGAGCAGCCCAGAGCCUGAAUCAGUGUGUGUGUUAGUGGAAGCGUCUGGAAAGGCGCGCGAUACAGGGUGACAGCCCCGUACACAAAAAUGCACAUGCUGUGAGCUCGAUGAGUAGGGCGGGACACGUGGUAUCCUGUCUGAAUAUGGGGGGACCAUCCUCCAAGGCUAAAUACUCCUGACUGACCGAUAGUGAACCAGUACCGUGAGGGAAAGGCGAAAAGAACCCCGGCGAGGGGAGUGAAAAAGAACCUGAAACCGUGUACGUACAAGCAGUGGGAGCCUCUUUAUGGGGUGACUGCGUACCUUUUGUAUAAUGGGUCAGCGACUUAUAUUCUGUAGCAAGGUUAACCGAAUAGGGGAGCCGAAGGGAAACCGAGUCUUAACUGGGCGUUAAGUUGCAGGGUAUAGACCCGAAACCCGGUGAUCUAGCCAUGGGCAGGUUGAAGGUUGGGUAACACUAACUGGAGGACCGAACCGACUAAUGUUGAAAAAUUAGCGGAUGACUUGUGGCUGGGGGUGAAAGGCCAAUCAAACCGGGAGAUAGCUGGUUCUCCCCGAAAGCUAUUUAGGUAGCGCCUCGUGAACUCAUCUCCGGGGGUAGAGCACUGUUUCGGCAAGGGGGUCAUCCCGACUUACCAACCCGAUGCAAACUGCGAAUACCGGAGAAUGUUAUCACGGGAGACACACGGCGGGUGCUAACGUCCGUCGUGAAGAGGGAAACAACCCAGACCGCCAGCUAAGGUCCCAAAGUCAUGGUUAAGUGGGAAACGAUGUGGGAAGGCCCAGACAGCCAGGAUGUUGGCUUAGAAGCAGCCAUCAUUUAAAGAAAGCGUAAUAGCUCACUGGUCGAGUCGGCCUGCGCGGAAGAUGUAACGGGGCUAAACCAUGCACCGAAGCUGCGGCAGCGACGCUGAUGCGUUGUUGGGUAGGGGAGCGUUCUGUAAGCCUGUGAAGGUGUGCUGUGAGGCAUGCUGGAGGUAUCAGAAGUGCGAAUGCUGACAUAAGUAACGAUAAAGCGGGUGAAAAGCCCGCUCGCCGGAAGACCAAGGGUUCCUGUCCAACGUUAAUCGGGGCAGGGUGAGUCGACCCCUAAGGCGAGGCCGAAAGGCGUAGUCGAUGGGAAACAGGUUAAUAUUCCUGUACUUGGUGUUACUGCGAAGGGGGGGACGGAGAAGGCUAUGUUGGCCGGGCGACGGUUGUCCCGGUUUAAGCGUGUAGGCUGGUUUUUCCAGGCAAAUCCGGAAAAAUCAAGGCUGAGGCGUGAUGACGAGGCACUACGGUGCUGAAGCAACAAAUGCCCUGCUUCCAGGAAAAGCCUCUAAGCAUCAGGUAACAUCAAAUCGUACCCCAAACCGACACAGGUGGUCAGGUAGAGAAUACCAAGGCGCUUGAGAGAACUCGGGUGAAGGAACUAGGCAAAAUGGUGCCGUAACUUCGGGAGAAGGCACGCUGAUAUGUAGGUGAAGUCCCUCGCGGAUGGAGCUGAAAUCAGUCGAAGAUACCAGCUGGCUGCAACUGUUUAUUAAAAAAAACACAGCACUGUGCAAACACGAAAGUGGACGUAUACGGUGUGACGCCUGCCCGGUGCCGGAAGGUUAAUUGAUGGGGUCAGCGCAAGCGAAGCUCUUGAUCGAAGCCCCGGUAAACGGCGGCCGUAACUAUAACGGUCCUAAGGUAGCGAAAUUCCUUGUCGGGUAAGUUCCGACCUGCACGAAUGGCGUAAUGAUGGCCAGGCUGUCUCCACCCGAGACUCAGUGAAAUUGAACUCGCUGUGAAGAUGCAGUGUACCCGCGGCAAGACGGAAAGACCCCGUGAACCUUUACUAUAGCUUGACACUGAACAUUGAGCCUUGAUGUGUAGGAUAGGUGGGAGGCUUAGAAGUGUGGACGCCAGUCUGCAUGGAGCCGACCUUGAAAUACCACCCUUUAAUGUUUGAUGUUCUAACGUUGACCCGUAAUCCGGGUUGCGGACAGUGUCUGGUGGGUAGUUUGACUGGGGCGGUCUCCUCCUAAAGAGUAACGGAGGAGCACGAAGGUUGGCUAAUCCUGGUCGGACAUCAGGAGGUUAGUGCAAUGGCAUAAGCCAGCUUGACUGCGAGCGUGACGGCGCGAGCAGGUGCGAAAGCAGGUCAUAGUGAUCCGGUGGUUCUGAAUGGAAGGGCCAUCGCUCAACGGAUAAAAGGUACUCCGGGGAUAACAGGCUGAUACCGCCCAAGAGUUCAUAUCGACGGCGGUGUUUGGCACCUCGAUGUCGGCUCAUCACAUCCUGGGGCUGAAGUAGGUCCCAAGGGUAUGGCUGUUCGCCAUUUAAAGUGGUACGCGAGCUGGGUUUAGAACGUCGUGAGACAGUUCGGUCCCUAUCUGCCGUGGGCGCUGGAGAACUGAGGGGGGCUGCUCCUAGUACGAGAGGACCGGAGUGGACGCAUCACUGGUGUUCGGGUUGUCAUGCCAAUGGCACUGCCCGGUAGCUAAAUGCGGAAGAGAUAAGUGCUGAAAGCAUCUAAGCACGAAACUUGCCCCGAGAUGAGUUCUCCCUGACUCCUUGAGAGUCCUGAAGGAACGUUGAAGACGACGACGUUGAUAGGCCGGGUGUGUAAGCGCAGCGAUGCGUUGAGCUAACCGGUACUAAUGAACCGUGAGGCUUAACCUU
rnacentral:rRNA from 1 species